GGGGCCGAACCAAUUGCAACUUUGAUGCCAAAGGCCAAGGCCACUGUCAAACAGGUGACUGCAAAGGGCGCCUCGAGUGCCAAGGCUAUGGAAGUCCUCCAAAUACGAUAGCUGAAUUCUCCCUAAACCAGCCUAACAACUUAGACUACAUCGACAUCUCCAACAUUGAUGGAUUCAACAUCCCAAUGGAGUUCAGCUCUGUAACUCCGUGCCGCGUUAUCAAAUGUUCAGCACCUAUUGUUGAUAAGAACUCCAGGUGGAUGCAACAGCCCCUGCACUGUUUUUAAAAGAAAUGAGUACUGCUGCACCAAUGGCCCAGGAAGCUGUGGCCCGACCGACUUCUCCAGGUUCUUUAAGAGCAGGUGCCCUGAUGCUUAUAGCUAUCCUCAAGAUGAUCGCACAAGCUUGUUUACUUGCCCAAGUGUUACAAAUUAUAGGGUUGUCUUCUGCCCUUAAAGAAAUCCAGAUAUUUAAGGUUCUUGUGACAGCUUAUAUGCUCCAAGAACUUCACUAGAAAAAUAAAUUAUGAAGAAAUAAACGCAUAUGUGAUCCUUCUGGCAAUGGUUCACUGGAAUUGGAAUAAAUUUGAGCACAUAUAGCAUUGUGCGAUUUGUCUUCUUUAUCAGCUUUUUGGCUCUUUAAACAACUUAUGAACUAGAUCACGAGUUCAAAACUAAUGAAGUUUUACUAAAUUAAUCUGUAAGAAGGAUUUACAGAUCUCUAGUUUUAAAAUAGACUGUCAAAAUACUUUGUUCCCCGCACUUCAAAAAUUUGAGUCAUGUUUAGGUUUAACUUACAUAGGAGUAUUCAUUUGUUCUUUUUUUUUUUGGAAUUCAGACUAUCUCUCCAGUCAAAUACUAAGAUGUCAUAUAAAUGAAAAUAAUUGUUUUAAGUGUACUACACAAUCAUACUUUAUGUAUAUAAAUGUUACCACGAAAUCCAGAGUAAGAGAAGUUUGUCUUACAAAUAUUGAAGAAAUGGGAGCUUGGUGUAAAUUCAAAACAAAAAUGGGGAUUUCCAUACUAAGGUAAACCCCAAAACAAUUGAAAAUGAUCAUCUCAUGAAAUAACAAAGAUGGUGAUAUGAAAGUUUACUAAGUAAGAUAAAGGUGCGAUUAAGGAGCUCAAGUGAUGAGGAAACUCGUAGAUGCCAAAUUGAUAAUUUGAUGCACUCAUGCUAAAUAGUACUAAUUCACUCCUAAAAGCUGGAUUUGGAGCCACUGCUAGCAGUUCCAUGAAGUUCAGUUCGAUUGUUAUAUUUAUUACGUUAUAUUGUUAUGCUCUUGGAAAAAGUAAUAUGCAUGAACGAAAAUACUUGGUAUGUAAUGAAUACAACAUUAUCAUGUAGUUGUCUACCAAAAAUUUAAAUAUACACAAUAAAAUAAUGCAUAUCUAUUCAAAUUAUGUAUCAGAAAAGAGUUAAAUGUUACUAUAAGGAUAAAAAAUUAAGUGAUUAUAUAUUUGUUUUGAACUAUAUUUUUAGGAAAAUCAUAAUAUAGCAUCUUAUUAAUAACUGCUUUUGUGAUAUUAAAAGAUGUUAGAAAUAAUUCCUGAAAUUAAUCUGGUUAAAAAACGCUCCAUUCAAACAGAAAAUUCAUGUCUUUUUUUUUUUUUUUUUUUUCCUUUUUUCUCUUACGUAGAGGUAAUCCACAAAUUGGACACUUACGAAAAAGCAUUGGAACAUUGAUUGAAAGAACAAUCAAGUUCACAUGAUCAGAUUAAUAGAACAAAAUGAGGGAUGAGAACUGACUGAAAUUAUGCAGGAGGAUUAUGGACAGAUCCGCAUCUUUUGAAUCAUUCCUAGGAUACAAAACAAGACCAUCAACAUCCCUAAAAUUUCUUAUAUAGAAAUUUGUUGAAAUAUCUACACGAACAUGCAAAAUCAUAGCAGCCAAUUCACCUAUAUAAACCCCCUGGCUGUGGCAUCUCCAAACCACAACAGCUACUAGUUGACUUAGAAGGUUUGAAGCACCAUGAAUUUCACCUACACUUUGUCCCUUUUGGUUUUGUGCCUAGCUUUAUACUUAAGCUUCACCAAUAGCUGCAAAUUUCAACAUUAAGAAAAUAAACACAUAAAACAAUUAAACCUUUACCAUGUAUUCUCUUUUACUUAUUGAUCAGUCAUAUCAUGAAAUAGAAAAGGGUUGUAGAAUUACUUAUAGAAAUAUAUUCUAGGGUAAUGAUAUAUAUUCCAUAUGAUUGAUGAGAAACGAAAAUGACUUGCCUGCCUUUCUUCAUCAGAAGAGUACCUAAUAGCCCCACUAGAAUUGCCAGUACAUAUAAGAAAUAAGAUGCUGUAAAACCAAAAAGAGCAGUGCAGCCACCGUUGGCUUCUAAAUAUCAGCAUAGUGAUUGUUAUGGCUAGAACAACUAACCACCCAAAAGCAUGUUUUAACUUUUCCCUAAAGUUGUGACUUAAAUGUUCAACAUGACAACAGGGUUUUCAUUUCAAUUGUUCUAAAUGCAAGAUCGAGCUGUAAUAUAUUUUUUUCCUUUUAUUUAAUGUAAGUGAAAGCAUUCAAAUUUACGACCUCGUACUUGCACUCUCUUCCCCUGAACUAUCCAACCGAUCCCAUCCCCUGAGCUGUAUUUAUAUUGACUUGUCUUGUCAUAUUAAUUAAUAUCUUUUAGCGUUGGAAAGGAAAUACAAAAAGUUUAAACAAUAGUGAUAAUUGAGUAAUUUUUCUGAGAUCUGAAUUGCAAAGUGCAAUACCUUGAAGGUGUAAAUUGACCUACGUACCCACAAGGUGUAAAUUGACCUACGUACCCACCUUCCAUCUUUUCCUACUGCUGGACAAAUAAAAUAAUAUUUCUUUGCUCAAUAUAAUAGUGGAAUUGGUAAGAAUUAGAAGAGUAUUUCUAUUUCUAGUCAAAGAAAAUUGAACAAAUUUGACAAAUUUCAGUUUAAAAAUAUUGGACAAAUUAUCGCUGCCCAAUACGGGCCCAGUCCAUCUAAAGCACACUUGAAGCAUAGAGCAGAUUGAUUUGGUUGUUUCCAGUUGGGCUUCCGGUCCUUGAUCCGUGUCUAUUAACGAAGUUGUAUUGUCAAUAUUGGGUCGUAUAAUCCACCAGCCCAUGGAAUUUAAUUUACAAAAAUAAAUUUCUUUUAAGUUGUGAAUUUAAUUAGUAGAACGAGAAACAAUUCAGAAAAUUAGUAUAAAGUACAAACCAUAUAGUACAUGUUUUUCUCAAUAAAAUACCAAUUAUGACUAGCUUAAGGAAUUGAUAAAUAAAUAACCUUUGUUCAGCUUUUCCUUUUGGGUGAUUCCCAUUAAUAAAAUCAUCUUUGUUCUCUCAAAAAAAAAAAAAAAAAAGAAAGAAAGAAAGAAACGAACUCCAUCCUUUUAAGUGGUAAAUAAAAUGAAUACAAAGAAAAAUAUAAAUAAAUAUCUUAACACUGCAAAAAAGAAAUUGAUAUUGAAACAUACUGAUAUUUAAGAAGUUUUAUAAAUUUUGGCAUCACCUACAGAUAAAAUGAUAUCUCUGUAAUGUGCCUUUUAUUUACUAUAAAAAAAAAAAAUACGUUACAGAGGUUCCAGUGGCAAAGGUAGAAAUACUUUUCAGUUGGGGCACGAAUUAACUUUCGCAAUUUUUUCCAAUUUACAAGUGGCCAAUAAUAACAAAAGAUUAUUUUUUUUUAAAAUGAUCAAAUCUAAUAGACUUGAUAAACUACCACUGCUUUGUUGAUGAAAAAUACAAAGUUAUGGACCAAGGCAAAGUAAAUAUGCAAGCAAAAGUACGUUGGAACUCGGCAUCUAAAGAUUUGCAGCUAUUUGCUUUCUUCUUUGGUUUACUUUUUGAUAAAUUACAAUAAUGACUAUGCUAUAUAAUAACUAUUACAAAAUCCAGCCAAGGCACAAUUUAGAAUUUUCAAGAAAUCUCAAAACUAUUCUAGGUACCUCUUUUAGGUCAAUAGGGACACGUGCCCUACUGGCCACAACGUAAAUCUACUCUUUUUUUUUAGGUAAAAAAAAAAAAAAAUUGGUUGAAUUUGACUUCGAUCAUUAUCACAAGUCAAAACCUGUUUUCGGAACUGUAAGUCGCUUACACAAGUUCUUACAGAUCACCCAUUUUUUUAGUAAAAAAAAAAAUAAAGUUUGGUUGAAUUUGACUUCGAUCAUCAUCACAGGUCAAAACCUGUCUUCAGAACUAUAAGUCGCUUACAGAAGUUCUUACAGAUCACCCAACAACAGAGAUCUCACAAUGUAAAUCUACUUAUAGGUUCUUAGUUCGACGAUCUUAAGCUUUCCUUUGCCAUAAUAAAGCAUGAACUACAUUUAAACUGCACUCCUUACACUGGGCACAAGUUGCAGUAAAUGAAUUAUGAUUGAAUAUGAAUUUAGCAUUUCAGGCUUUUAGCAACCACAAAUGCUAUUCUGGAAAGUUGCCAAAACUAAAGUUUAAGCACAAAAAACUGCUUGAACACUUCACGAAACGGCCCAAAUUGGGCUUUUAAUUUUUUUUUUUUUUUGUCCAAUUACUUGAGUAAGCUCCACGAAAUCCUGGACUAGAAACUCUUGUUCUACUUGACAUCCUUAUUGAAUUGUCUAAGCUUCUUGAAGCCAUUUGCCUAACAUUCGCUGGUCUCAGACAAACAGACGUAUGGUCUUGAUUUGUGCCCAUUCGGCUGCACCAAAAUCCUGUUGAAACUCUAGACUAAGAGGAAAAUUCCAAAGAAAAAAAAAAUGAAAACAGAAGACUUUAGGAGUUAUGAAAUUGGCAUUAGUCUCCUUGGGUGUGGAAUUUGAAAUCAUCAUCAAUACUAACAUGUUGAUAUUGACUACCCCAUAACAGAAAGUUAUCGCGAAAAUAAUUAGAUGCUAAUACCAAACGUUUUAAUCUCUAACCAUCAUUUCUUAUGUUAAACAUAGGUUUUAGCGUAGCUAAUCAAUAUAUGUACAAUUGCUAAUUUUUUCCACUAAUUAAGUCAAAAGAUAAUUGUUUUGAACGGUGUUUUCGCGAAAAUUCCAAUAAAAUAUUUUGUUAAUAAACACAUUUGAUAUUUUCAGAGAUGUUAGAUAGUGAUUCCUGAAAACAGUGAGGUUGAAAAAACAAUUCAACCAAACAGAUAAGCCAUGUCUGUUUCUUUUUUCUAUCUUAGAGAAAAUCCACGAAUUGGACACUAAAGAAAAGAAAUUGUAACAUUGAUAUAUAGAACAGUCAAGUUCACAUCACCAGAAGAAUAAAAAAUGGGGGAUGAGAUUAUGCAGAAGGAUUAUGGACGGAUAAGCAUCUUUGAAUCAUUCCUAGAAUACAAGAAAGGGCCAUCAACAUCUCUGAAAUUUCUCAUGUAGAAAAUUUGUUAAGAAGAUUAACAUGUACACGCAAAAUGAUAGCAGACAAUCGCCCUAUAUAAACCCCCUACCUGUGGCAUCUUGAAACCACAACCAGCUACCAGUUCACUUUGAAAGUUUGAAACACCAUGAAGUCCACCUACACUUUGUCCCUUUUGGCUUUAUGCCUAACUUUAUACUUAACCUUCACCAAUGCUGCAAAUUUCAACAUUGUAAACCAAUGUACCUACACAGUUUGGGCAGCUGCUUCCCCAGGCGGUGGCAGGAGGCUCGACCGAGGCCAAUCAUGGUCCCUAAACGUGGCUCCUGGCACCACCCAAGCUCGCAUUUGGGGCCGAACCAAUUGCAACUUUGAUGCCAAUGGCCAAGGCCACUGUCAAACAGGUGACUGCAACGGGCGCCUCGAGUGCCAAGGCUAUGGAAGUCCACCGAAUACGCUAGCUGAGUUCGCCCUAAACCAGCCUAACAACUUAGACUACAUCGACAUUUCCAACGUUGAUGGAUUUAACAUCCCAUUGGAGUUCAGCUCCGUUACCAAUUGCCGUGACAUCAGAUGUUCAGCUCCUAUUGUUGAUCAAUGCCCAGCUCAGCUAAGAACUCCAGGUGGAUGCAACAAUCCCUGCACUGUUUUUCACACAAAUGAGUACUGUUGCACCGAUGGCCCAGGAAGCUGUCACCCGACCGACUUCUCCAGGUUCUUCAAGGACAGGUGCCCUGAUGCUUAUAGCUAUCCUCAAGAUGAUCCCACAAGCUUGUUUACUUGCCCAAGUGGUACAAAUUAUAGGGUUGUCUUCUGCCCUUAAAGAAAUCCAGAUAUUUAAGAAAAGUAGAUUAUGAAGAAAUAAACGCAUAUGAGACCCUUCUUGUAAUGGUUCACUGAAAUUGGAAUAAAUUUGAGCACAUAUAGCAUUGUGCGGUUUGUCUUCGUUAUCAGCUUUUUGGCUCUUUAAACUACUUAUGAACUACAUCACUGCUUACUAAAUUAAUCUGUAAGAUGGAUUUACACAUCCCUUGCUCUGACCCCUUCUUGCAUUUCUUCAAUUUCAAAAUUGAGUUACCAUGUUAAUUAGAAAACACAGUGUACAUGGAUUUGAGUGGUUUUAUUAUCCAUUACGAUUUGUAAUAAAAGAUCCUGGAGAAAAAACAAAAUAACAUCAACGCAGACAAAAAAAGUUAUACAAUAAAAUUUUUUAAAAAAAGUAAAAAGUUCUUUUACCCCAUCUAACUUAGCCAUAUAAGAAAAGAAGCUACAAAGUUCAGGAGCAGCCAAGAAUACAUCCACUUUGCAAACAAUUGAUUCGUUUCCUUUUCUUCCACCUUUCAUACUCCUUUCUGUUUUCCUUUCUCUUUUCUUCAAGUAUCAUCCAUGAAUCAGUUCCAGCAAUUUGAGGUAACAAUAAAAUCUAGGCUGUUCGGUGUCAUGGUUCAAUGGAUCUGAUACCACAUCUUGGACGGGUACAAGCUUUGCCCGUCCUCCAUACUACUCUGGCAAAGUUUCUUCGCCUAUGUCCUGGAUAAAACCCCUCCUUUCCUCUUCGUUAAUCACGAUCUUAAUCUGUGUCUAUCAUUUAAAAGUUGCUAGUUAAGUUCGAUUUUAGAAAACACAUGUAUUUCAGAAAAAAACAUGUUUACUCGAAAUUUUUGGAUUUGGAAAUCUAAACGCAAUUAUAUGCUACUUUCUGUACCCAUAAUCAAUGAAUAGAUAUUGAGCGAUGCUGUUAUAUGUUUCUGCAAUCAGACAAAUAUGAGCCACAAAUGGCUCAAAUUAAGUGAGAUCUUAGAAUCUUUGAAUUCAUAGAAACAAACACCGGAUCUUCAAUAACUGCUCUUCUGGUUGAUCACAUAAAGAGGCUAACUAUCUGCGUUCUGUAAUCGAUUAAGCAAUAGUACGAAUGGUUUUUUUUCAACUUAUUGGGAUCAUGAUGUGACUGGAAAGUUUUAUUUCUGUUGAAAAUUGAAUUAAUUAGCUUCAUACUCCUGCAGAACAAUAAUCUUCCAGUGGGAAAACAAGAUGGGAAGAAAUGGAAAGAAAAGAUCACUUUCUGUCGACUUCUACAAUCAAUAAAAAGCUCCAUUAAUUGAAAAAAAAAGAAGAAGAAGAAGAUGGAUCUUGUAUUGGUUCGUUGUCUUUAAGUAUUUCUGCACAAUAUUGUCUUGUUUUGACAAGUGAUAGUCGCACAUAGAGGGCAGUCUCUUGCAAGCCUUUCAAAGCAAGAUACAAGAAAACAGAUAUGCUCGAACAGAGAACUUAAAUUGCAUUUGUUUACUUUGACAAGUUUAAUGGCUUCAUCCUACGUAUGGAUGGAAGCAGUACUUUAGUUAUCAUCUGCCUGCUAAUUUUAAGAAAGAUCUUUCAUAUGUUUAAAUUUGCAGAAAUGGUUGCAUAUCAGAAAUACCUUCUCAAGAGUUGCUUUCUCAAGGAAGUAUGAAACCAUCCUCCAUACACUCACAAAGAACCAGGGUAGAUGUACAAUAUAACACUUGGCUAAGCACUCAGGGUAGCAAGCCAACACAAAUAAGAGAUUCGAAUGUAAUAUCGUAACGAGAAAGAAUUGCACAACACCAAGGUGAAUAGUCAUUGUGUCACGGUAAAACAGAACAAGAAUCUUUCUUGAAUUUGAAUGUAGAAAGAUCUGAUCAUUGUCCUUUUCCAUGGAUCCGAAUUCUAUCUGACCUUAAGUUUAAAGAUCUCAGCCGAUAACCUUAAUGAUCCAUGGUUUGACACGAAAACCAUUUGCCAAUAAUGGUCCUAGAAUUACACUUAAAUUAGGGAUAUGAAGAACCUCACUUGUAAAAUUUAAUGGCAGCAAAGUAAUACUUUUUGAACAGCAUAGAAGUCUACUCGGAGAAACUCAAAUUCAACGGAUGUUUCUGCAUGCUGAUUGAAUUUUCUAAGCUUCAUGAAGUCAUUUGCCUAACUCUUGACUGGGAUCAGACUAGAGAAGGAAGACAAACAGGUGUAUGGUCUUGAUUUAUGCCCAUUCUGCAACUCCAAAAUCUGGUUGAAAUUCUAGACUAAGAGCAAGAAUAUUAAAAAAAAAAAAAAAAGUUACGAUAUUAUCAUUAGUCUCCCCAGUUGUGUGAUUUUGAAAUGAUCGUCACUACCAAAAUGUUGAGAUUGACUAGCGCAUAACAGAAAGUUAUCGCUAAAAUAAUUAGAAGCUAAUAUCAAAUGUUUUAAUCCCAGAUCAUCAUUUAUUAUUUUGAACAUAGAUUUCAUUAUGGCUAAUCAAUUUUUGUAUAAUUGCUAGUUCUUUCCACUGAUUAGGUCAUAAGAUAAUUGUUUUCCACAGUGUUUUUAGGAGAAUUGUAAUAUAAUAUUUUGUUAAUAUUAAGAAAUGUUAGAAAGUGAUUCCUGAAAACAGUGUGGUUGAAAAACACUCCACCCAAACGGAUAAUUCAUGUCUGUUUCUUUUUCUAUCUUAGACAGAGGUAAUAUUGGACACUAGAGGAAAGACAUGUAAGGUUGAUCUUUAAAACGGUCAAGUCUGACAUCACCCGAACAAUAAAAAAAGGGGUAAAAUACACUUUGGGCUCCUGUGAUUUAGCAUUUUUCACAUAAUCUCCUCCCGGUUUCAAAAGUUAUACAUAACUCUCUUAUAAUUUGGAUUAAAGUGUCAAAGUGAAGAAAUUUGCAUUUUAUAAUGGAAUCAACUAAAAUGUCAAAAGUACCCCUAUAUAAAAUUAAAUAUUAUUUAUUUAUCACAAGGGAUUAUGUAUAUAUUUUAAAAAUCAUAAUAGAGUUAUAUAGUAAAAUACUAAACCAUAAAGGAGUUACACGCUGAAACAUAAAAUCAUUUGUCAUUAGACUGUGAUACAUGUUAUGUUAUAUAUUUUGUCACUUCACCCAUUUUAGUUUUUAAACAAAGGUAAUUUAGACAUUUUUAUGGAUUCUAUUAUAAAUGAUCAUUUUUAUUAUUUUAACACUUUAAUUCAAAUUAUGAGGGAUUAUAUAUAGUUUUUAAAACUAUAGGUGGGUCAUAUGAAAAAUUACUAAGCCACAUGGUGAUAAAGUGUAUUUUGCCAAAUAAAAAAUGAGGGAUGAGAGCUGACUGAAAUCAUGCAAAAGGAUAACGGCUAGAUCAGCAUCUUUGAAUCAUUCCUAGCUAGUAUACAAGAUGACCAUCAAAAUCUCUGAAAUUUCUUACGUAGAAAAUUGGUGAAGAAGAUUAAGGUGUACACGCAAGUUAAUAGCAGCCAAUCACCCUACGUAAACCCCUAGCUGUGGCACCUUGAAAACACAAUAGCUACUAGUUCACUUGGAAAGUUAGAAACACCAUGAAGUUCAGCCACACCUUGUCCCUUUUGGUUUCGUGCUUCAUUUUAUACUUAACCUUCACCAAUGCUGCAAAUUUCAACAUUAUAAACCAAUGUACCUACACAGUUUGGGCAGCUGCUUCCCCAGGGGGUGGCAGGAGGCUCGACCGAGGCCAAUCAUGGUCCCUAGAUGUGGCUCCUGGCACCACC
rnacentral:lncRNA from 1 species